GACGAACGCUGGCGGCGUGCUUAACACAUGCAAGUCGAACGGAAAGGCCCUGCUUUUGUGGGGUGCUCGAGUGGCGAACGGGUGAGUAACACGUGAGUAACCUGCCCUUGACUUUGGGAUAACUUCAGGAAACUGGGGCUAAUACCGGAUAGGAGCUCCUGCUGCAUGGUGGGGGUUGGAAAGUUUCUGCGGGUGGGGAUGGACUCGCGGCUUAUCAGCUUGUUGGUGGGGUAGUGGCUUACCAAGGCUUUGACGGGUAGCCGGCCUGAGAGGGUGACCGGCCACAUUGGGACUGAGGUACGGCCCAGACUCCUACGGGGGGCAGCAGUGGGGAAUAUUGCACAAUGGGCGGAAGCCUGAUGCAGCAACCCCGCGUGCGGGAUGACGGCCUUCGGGUUGUAAACCGCUUUCGCCUGUGACGAAGCGUGAGUGACGGUAAUGGGUAAAGAAGCACCGGCUAACUACGUG
rnacentral:rRNA from 1 species